UUGAAAAUGUAAUCGCCCGCAGCUUCCUGACACUGUUGGUUUCAAGCAAGAGCCUAAAGAGUUGUCUUUUUAUGGUGUGUUGGCCAUUUCAGAACUUGGGCAGUAAAAUAGUCAAUUCAUUAGAAAGAAACAGCU
ensembl:snoRNA small nucleolar RNA SNORA2/SNORA34 family